ACUUCACACUUUUUCUAUUCAAUACUUAAUCCAUUUGGAACAGAUGAUUUAUCCGUGCAAGCAUUUAAGAAGUCAAGGAAAAAAUGCAGAAUUGUUUGUAGAAUAUUUUCUUCAGAUCUUCCGAAACAUUCAGCAUAAAUAACUUUUCUUUAUUGUUGAAAAUACAAAAGAGUAAGCCUGUUUACUUGGCAGUUUACAAAGCUGUGACAAAGUUGAUGAAUUGACACAAUGAAUAGAAUGUAGUGACCGGAAGCAGCUACCAGAACUUUUUUCACUUAAUUCUAACCUUGAACAAUUGGGAAAUAGUUGAAUUGUGCAGAAAAUCUAAUGUAAGGUUAAAAUAAACCACUGGAACAGACAGUACAAAACUUUCAAGUUUAUACUCCUAAAAUAAUAUUCAAAAAUAAAUAUUUGAUCAUUAUCUAUGAUUAAAUGUAAAUAAUUUACGCAAUUUUUUUUUAUAAUUUUUGAAUUCUUCAAGUUCAACAUAUAUAUAUUGAGCUGAAUAAGAAAAAAAAUUAUCUUUUGAAAGGAGGAUUACUCUUAUAUGAAAGUAUUUUUUCACUAUUUACUAAACAACAGAAGUAUCAGUCAUAAAUUAGAACUUUAACGAUCAAUUUAGAAUGAAUUCAGAGCUUAUAAAGGGGAAUGGAAGCUUUCUAAAGAUCAUCUGGCACACGACAAGUGUGUAUUCUUGCAGCUGCUAUAUGCCGGGUGUCGAUGAACACGCAUGGUGGUUCCAAAAAUCUUUGACCUUGAGACGCGUGACUACCUAAUUUAGAACCUUUAAGACAAAAUAAGUGCCUACAUGCUGAAACAUAAGUAUAGAAUCAUGAUAACGGAUGUAAUAACAUGCACAGCAGUAGUACCAUCAUGCAGCCUAGUAACUAAACCAUACUUUGGAACAUUCGAUGAUGUCCUCCGGCUUCAUGUGUCGUGCGGGUGCUCGAUGUAAUGCUUUCGGUACAAAAGAGUAACCCCAGGUAAGCGUCGGUUUCAGGUAAGCAUAAGCCAGGUACGCCAGGUGGUACGGUCUCUUUUUUUUCACCUCUUCCUUCUCUCACUCUGUCUCUCAACGAUGCGAUCGACCCACAGCUGUUUCCCUGGUUCAUAAAGAGCUUUACCCUCAUUGUCAACUGUGGUAAACUGGCUUUUCGUUUCUUCAAUGUACUAUAAGUUUAUUUCUUUCCAAUCUUACGCACUCACUUUUGAAGACUCCUACAUCUAUUAAACUUUUCAAGAUGAUUCAGUGCUUGACAA